GGAGCAGCAGGGUAGAAAGUGGCUUAGGGAAAACUGCAGCAUGAGUAAAGGAGCAGAGAUGUAGGUUCUUUGAUCCACGGAAGGUGCAAGGCUUAAGUUAGUCAAGAGAACAUCUCCAACACCCUGGAGGAGAUGGAGUCAAGCUCAAGUCCUGACACUUUCUGGGCUGGCUGCCUAUACUUCUCCCUCCCUGUGCGAGAGACCUAAUGAGGAAAAGCAACCAAAAAGCAAAGGGCUUAAAGACGCCGAGUACAGAGCCCAUCAGACCUGAAUGAUUCUGCCAAUUCCUGUGCUGACUGGCUAGUAAUGGACGGUGCAAUUGGAGCACAGGGAUUCGUGUACCAUCGGGUGACCACGAAACAACUGUACAAGCCGGAAAUCAAUGCCCUUGGGCUGGUGGCUAUUUAAUGCAUCCCUGCACCCUGAUCACUUGAGAAAAUAAUAGGCUGUAAGGUCCCCAGGGGCCAUGGUGAUAGGUGCCAUAUACAUUUUAUGCAUAAAUUGUAGGCUUACCUUCACCACACAGUUAUUAAUAAAAUCUACCCUCAUUUAGUAGCUGCCGUCAUUUAAUAGAUUAACCUUUAUCAUGUAACUUCACCAUGCCAGCUGCAGGAGAAAGUAAUUACUUUUAAUAGAAUCUGCCCUUGAUUUAAAGCCGCAGGGGAAGCAAUUAAAUUUAAUAACCGUCAAAAGCCAUGGCUUCUAAAUGAAGCUAUAUGGCCUCUGUUAUCAGUUUUUUUACAUUUUAUUGUGUGUAAGAGAGAAAUAUCUAAAAUGGUACAAAAUUAGGCAGCGUGAUUUUUCAGUGUUAAACAUGUACGCCAGGGCUGUGUGACAUAUCGAAGUCAAUGCAGUUGAACUGUGGCUUUUUAUUUAAAUUCAGAACUGGCUGGGGGUGAUUCGGGGUUCUCAGCGUGAGCUGCGAUUUUCCAAAACUUAGUUCUGACUAUACACUGUAUUCAAAACACAUGACAAAAGGCAUAUUAUUGUUCUAGCUUGGAUAAUCUGCAGUUUUCCCAUGUGCUUGGAUAGUAAUUUAAAGUGUGGUCAGGAACCCUGUCAUUUAAGAGUGAA